CGCUGGUAGAUCGCUUCCCUAUCAUCAGAGAAGAAAAUUUCAUGCUCUCCUCUAGGCGUUGGACGAGGUUCGGGGGUGCUGGUGGUAAUUCCUUGAAGCACCUCGUGGAACUUGAGCUCAGAGGUCUGCCGGUGCAUGCGUGGGAGACUUCGGUGGUGCAACAAUUGAUCAACCCCCAUGCGUGCAUUUCCCAGGUUCUGCCCGACACACUGGAAAUCCGGAGUUUGGAAGUCUUUCGAUGCCUUGCCUGGUGCUGCGACCCUGAACGUAUCCCAUCUAUGAAAGACCUCUGGAUCACUGAACCAGACCAGGCUUCUGCUGCUGAAGGGAAGAAGGCCCUGGUGUACCCGGUGCAAAUUCGUUGGGUCCCUGCUGAUUUGAGCCUCUUGCCUGGGGCUCCACUGCCGCCGGUUGGAGGUGACGAUCAGGACAAAUCUGAUACCCCCCCUCCACGGAGAAGAUGUGGUGACAACCUUCCACGCACUCAACAUGAUGCAAUCAAUGAUGUUCCUGGCAACAAGACCCACACUCAACGGCGGCCGGUUCAUGACCGAUUGGGACCCUUGAGGCGCUCGGAUUCCCCCAGGGAAUUGAGCCAU
rnacentral:misc_RNA from 1 species